GCUGGGGUCACCUGUUCUGGCUGUGUCUUCUCCCAGUCUUCCACGCACUCCCAGCCUCAUCACUGGCAUGGCAGUAGGAAAAGCAGAAAAGGCCUUGACUCUAUGGCACCCACUGAAUGGAAAGGAUCUAGAGAAAGACAGGAAAAUCUUGUUUUCACCUUUUGAGGGAAAGGAUUCCUGAUUUCAGGUGUCAUCUUUUGACUUUCUGGGUCAAUGAGUGAAUCUUUUCUGUACUGAUGGAGAAACCUACUGAAAACAGAACACUUGAAAAUUUCCCUUCUCAC